rnacentral:rRNA from 1 species
GACGAACGCUGGCGGCGUGCUUAACACAUGCAAGUCGAACGGAAAGGCCCUGCUUUUGUGGGGUGCUCGAGUGGCGAACGGGGGAGUAACACGUGAGUAACCUGUCCCUGACUUUGGGAUAACUUCAGGAAACUGGGGCUCAUAUCGCAUAGGAGCUCUUGCUGCAUGGUGGGGGCUGGUAAGUUUCGGUGGUUGGGGAUGGACUAGCGGCCUAUCAGCUUGUUGGUGGGGUAGUGGCUUAACAAGGUUGUGAAGGGUCGCCGGCCUGAGAGGGGAGGCGGCCACAUUGCGCCUGCGCUACGGCCCAGACUCCUACGGGACGCAACAGUGGGGAGUAUUGCACAGUGGGCGGGAGCCAGAUGCAGCCACGCCGCGUGCGGGAAGACGGCCUUCGGGUUGUGAACCACUUUCGCCUGUGACGAAGCGUGAGUGACGGUAACGGGUAAAGAAGCACCGGCUAACUACGUG